UACGGGGGGUGCAAGCGUUAAUCGGAAUCACUGGGCGUAAAGGGUGCGUAGGCGGUACGUUAGGUCUGUCGUGAAAUCCCCGGGCUCAACCUGGGAAUGGCGGUAGAAACCGGCGAACUAGAGUAUGAGAGAGGGUGGUGGAAUUCCAGGUGUAGCGGUGAAAUGCGUAGAGAUCUGGAGGAACAUCAGUGGCGAAGGCGGCCACCUGGCCCAAUACUGACGCUGAGGCACGAAAGCGUGGGGGAGCAAACAGGAUUAGAUACCCUGGUAGUCCACGCCCUAAACGGUGAAUACUAGAUGUUUGGUACCUAGCGUACUGAGUGUCGUAGCUAACGCGAUAAGUAUUCCGCCUGGGAAGUACGGCCGCAAGGUUAAAACUCA
rnacentral:rRNA from 1 species